CCUACGGGGAGCAGCAGUGGGGAAUAUUGGACAAUGGGCGAAAGCCUGAUCCAGCCAUGCCGCGUGUGUGAAGAAGGCCUUCGGGUUGUAAAGCACUUUCAGUGGGGAAGAAAGCCUUGGGGCUAAUACCCUCGAGGAAGGACAUCACCCACAGAAGAAGCACCGGCUAACUCCGUGCCAGCAGCCGCGGUAAUACGGAGGGUGCGAGCGUUAAUCGGAAUUACUGGGCGUAAAGCGCGCGUAGGCGGUCUGAUAAGCCGGUUGUGAAAGCCCCGGGCUCAACCUGGGAACGGCAUCCGGAACUGUCAGGCUAGAGUGCAGGAGAGGAAGGUAGAAGUCCCGGUGUAGCGGUGAAAUGCGUAGAGAUCGGGAGGAAUACCAGUGGCGAAGGCGGCCUUCUGGACUGACACUGACGCUGAGGUGCGAAAGCGUGGGUAGCAAACAGGAUUAGAUACCCUGGUAGUC
rnacentral:rRNA from 1 species